GGGAGGACAAGGUUAAAAUACGGUUCCGAGGACCUGGUCUCUCCACAGCGCAGGCUGGAGGUGGGAGCCCGUGGAAAGCCAGGUUCAUCCACCAUCGGAACCCAGGCCAGGCUGCCAAGGCUAAUAUUCAGGACAAAGCCAGGGGCAGGGUGGGAAUCCUGUGGAGAUGACCAUCGUCUUGAGGUCUUCCUUCCAGGGCUCCAUCCGGGCCCGAAGAUGGCGAGAGACAUGGAUGUGCUGGGGUCGUGUAAAGCAUGAACAUUAGAGGGAGCUGGAUGAAGGGCAUCUGGGAACUCUCUGUAUCUCUGCAACUCUUCUGCAAAUUUAAAUUUAUUCCCAGCCCCCAUAACCACCAUUCCCUGCUGUGAUGUUGUGACUCUGGUGACUUUGCAGACCUCCUGUGACAUCAUGCAGUACUUGGUCUCUGCAUCUGCAUCACUUGGCGUGAUGUCCUCAGGGUUUGUCUGUGUUGUCACCCAUGGCAGAAUUUUCUUCCUUGUUUAAGGCUGCAUAGUAUUCCCCUGUGUGUGUACCACAUUUUCCAUAUCCAUUCAUCUGUCAUGGACAUUUAGAUGAUUUUCACGUCUUAGCUAUAGUGCAUAGUGCUGCAGUGAUCAGGGGAGUUCAGAUGGCUCUUUACAUACUGAUUUUUUUUUUUUUUUUGGAGACAGAGUCUUGCUCUUCUUGCCCAGGCUGG